UGCAUUUGCUACUGUAAGUAGCUCUGGAUAAGAGCGUCUGCUAAAUGACUAAAA
rfam:Salmo salar isolate Sally breed double haploid chromosome ssa11, whole genome shotgun sequence.